GGAGGAGCUUCAACUUGUGGAUCAAAACACAAUUGAUUUUGUAUUUAGCCAUCAGAGUCCAGCUAUGAAAAUCCAUUUUUGAUGAUGGUUUGGCCAAAGAAUUUUGCUAGGGACGAGGAAAGGGCAAAAAUAAAUUUUGUGAUCUAGUGCCUUGCGAUGUCAUCACAGGAAUUGCUUUGAAAAAUUUGCCGCAUGAGACAUAGUUUGCUGUUUUAGAGGCUGCAAAAAGCUGGCUGCGACGUGCCAAUAAAUAUUAUACAAGG